rnacentral:rRNA from 1 species
GGAUGCGAUCAUACCAGCACUAAAGCACCGGAUCCCAUCAGAACUCUGAAGUUAAGCAUGCUUGGGCGAGAGUAGUACUAGUAGUACUAGGAUGGGUGACCUCCUGGGAAGUUCUCGUGUUGCAUUCC